rnacentral:rRNA from 1 species
UGCCAGCCGCGCGGUAAUACGGAGGGUGCGAGCGUUGUCCGGAAUUAUUGGGUUUAAAGGGUGCGUAGGCGGCUUUUUAAGUCAGGGGUGAAAUCCCACAGCUCAACUGUGGAACGGCCCUUGAUACUGGAAAGCUUGAGUAUAGUAGAGGUAGGCGGAAUUUAUGGUGUAGCGGUGAAAUGCAUAGAUACCAUAAAGAACACCGAUAGCGUAGGCAGCUUACUGGAGUAUAACUGACGCUGAUGCACGAAAGCAUGGGUAGCGAACAGGAUUAGAUA